ACUACGGGCGGCAGCAGUGGGGAAUAUUGGGCAAUGGGCGCAAGCCUGACCCAGCAACGCCGCGUGAAGGAAGAAGGCCUUCGGGUUGUAAACUUCUUUUCUGAGGGACGAAGAAAGUGACGGUAACUCAGGAAUAAGCCACGGCUAACUACGUGCCAGCAGCCGCGGUAAUACGUAUGGGGCAAGCGUGAACCGGAUUUACUGGGCGGAAAGGGGGCGGAGGCGGGACGGCAAGCCGGAUGUGGACGCCCGGGGCCGAACCGCGGGACUGCAUGGGGAACUCGCGAGCUGGAGUGCGGGAGAGGUAGGCGGAAUUCCUAGUGUAGCAGUGAAAUGCGUAGAUAUUAGGAGGAACACCAGUGGCGAAGGCGACCUACUGGCCGGUGACUGACGCUGAGGCUCGAAAGCGUGGGGAGCAAACAGGAUUAGAUACCCUAGUAGUC
rnacentral:rRNA from 1 species